AGCAGCCGCGGUAAUUCCAGCUCCAAUAGCGUAUAUUAAAGUUGUUGCAGUUAAAAAGCUCGUAGUUGAAUUUCGGGAUCGAUACGUCGGUCGUGCCUUCGGUACGUACUGUCGUCAUCGAUUUCUCCCUUCUGACGAACCAUGAUGUCAUUAAUUUGGUGUUAUGGGAAAUCAGGACUGUUACUUUGAAAAAUUAGAGUGUUUAAAGCAGGCAUUAGCUUGAAUACAUUAGCUAUGGAAUAAUGAAAUAGGACGUUCGAACCUAUUUUGUUGGUUUUUAGGAUCAACGUAAUGAUUAAUAGGGAUAGUUGGGGCAUUAGUAUUCAAUUGUCAGAGUGAAAUUCUGGAUUUAUUGAAGACUAAUACUGCGAAAGCAUUUGCCAAGGAUGUUUUCAUUAAUCUAAGAACG
rnacentral:rRNA from 1 species